AAGUCGUAACAAGGUUUCCGUAGGUGAACCUGCGGAAGGAUCAUUAAAAAAAGGGUCGCAAGACCCGUUUUUAAACACUAUCGCCGCCUAUCAUCUAUGGGUAGGAUACUCUUGUCUAUGGGUAGGAUACUCUUGUCUAUGGGUGAGAUGGAGGAGGUAGGGUUUUUUAAAAUCCAAUUAUUAUAAAAUAUAUCGUCUAAUGACGAACCAAAAAAAUUAUCAAAACUUUCAACAAUGGAUCUCUUGGCUCUC
rnacentral:misc_RNA from 1 species